GCUAGSUCACGACAUUUCUUCCCSGAUGUUAACGGCGGCGGAUGAGUGACACRUGUCUGACCUGCUGCCUGAACUGGGGUGAUUCCUGGAAACCAGAGCURAUACCGGAUAGUUCCUUGAACCGAAUGGUUCAGGGGAGAAUGACGGCUUCUGCUGUCACUUGCGCAUGGACCCGCUUAGCUUUARCUAGGUGGUGGGGUAAUGGCUCACCAAGGUCCCUAUGUGGACUCAACCUGAGAGGGUGAUCGGCCACACUGAGACUGAYCCCGACUCCUACUCCUAGSGGAGGCAGCAAAUAGGAAUCUUCCGCAAUGGACCAAAGUCUGACRUGCCAMCKGCRCGAGAGUGAUGAAGGUUUUCKGAUCGUAAAGCUCUGUUGAUAAGGAAGAACAAGUGCAUACCUUUCUGCUCGCACCUUGACGGUACCUAACCMGAAAGCUACGGCUAACUACGUGCCAGCAGCCGCGGUAAUGCUGAGGUGGCAAGCGUUGUCCGGAAUUAUUGGGCGGCAAGGGCUCGCAUUGKGUUUCUUAAUGUCUGAUGUGAAAGCCUCCGGCUCARACCUGGAGGGUCAUUGGAAACUGUUGAAACUUGAKUGCAGAAGGKAGARAGUGCAAUUCCACGUGUAACAUGCGAAAUA
rnacentral:rRNA from 1 species